rnacentral:lncRNA from 1 species
UGGCCAGGCUGGUCUCGAACUCCUGACCUCUGGCGAUCCGCCCACCUCGGCAUCCCAAAGUGCUGGGAUUGCAGAUGUGAGCCACUGCACCCAGACUUCUAACCUCUUAUCUCCCUCAUUUCCAUCCUAUUUUCUCAUAUCUCUUUUAGCAUGUCUUUGCAUUAAUGAUCAAACUUGACUAUCUGCUAGAUUCUCAAUCACAUUAUUUUCUCCUGGGUCUUUCAGGUCUUUCGUGGUUCUACACCCUGCCAUUCUUAGAACCAGCUGGUGACUUGGUCCUUCAUUUAUUCAUUUAAAGGACCACUGAAAAAUACCAGGAGAAGGCCUGAUUCAGCCCUCUCUGCUGGGGCAUGUUUGAGGAGCUUUGGAAAGGAGCAGUAUGGAUGUCUUCUGUGAAGUCAUUUCCAGAAGGCUGAGAUGUGCCACGAAGACAUUCCUUUCACUCUCUCUCCCCUGAUUUAUUUUAAUACCCUCUGAUGGGAAAUCCCUCCACACUUCCCAGGUCAGGUUGGGCUCACCUUCCUCAAGCCCCUGGGCACAGACCAGAAGAGGCAUGUUCUGGGUUCUUUGUUCAGUCUGUGUGAGAUUUGAAAGCCUCAUACCCCUUAUUUUCUCCUAAGCCUGUUGCCAUCUUUUCCCACUCCCUGUUCAUGGGACUUCUAUGCCCCUUUCCCAAAGAGUCAGCCUCCCACCAUUAAAAACUCCAGGAAAUAAGAACUUACUUCCUUGGGAAUGUGUGAUGAUGACUCCAUUUCCAGAUCAAUGAGAAAAUUCAACAAUGAGUUGAAGGACCAUGAGAAACUUCUAAGGUCCCUUUAACAUCUAAUCUAUGGACUUCACUAAUUUAAUCAACUUACUUUACGGAGGAAACAUCUGCUCUGAUGGGGCAAGUGACUUGUCCAAGAUCACCCAUCUAGUUAGAGAUGGUUAUCUAGAAAGGGAACACAA